UGAACGCUGGCGGUAUGCUUAACACAUGCAAGUCGAACGGAAACGAUACUAGCUUGCUAGUAGGCGUCGAGUGGCGGACGGGUGAGUAACGCGUAGGAAUCUGCCUGAUAGUGGGGGAUAGCCCGAAGAAAUUCGGAUUAAUACCGCAUAAUCUAUUCGUAGUAAAGUGGGGGACUUUCGAGCCUCACGCUAUCAGAUGAGCCUGCGUAAGAUUAGCUUGUUGGUAGGGUAAAAGCCUACCAAGGCGACGAUCUUUAGCUGGUCUGAGAGGAUGAUCAGCCACAUCGGGACUGAGACACGGCCCGAACUCCUACGGGAGGCAGCAGUGGGGAAUAUUGGACAAUGGGGGCAACCCUGAUCCAGCAAUACCGCGUGUGUGAAGAAGGCCUGAGGGUUGUAAAACACUUUCAAUUGUGAAGAAAAGUUAGCGGUUAAUAACCGUUAGCCUUGACGUUAACUUUAGAAGAAGCACCGGCUAACUCCGUGCCAGCAGCCGCGGUAAUACGGAGGGUGCAAGCGUUAAUCGGAAUUACUGGGCGUAAAGCGUGCGUAGGCGGUUUAUUAAGUCAGAUGUGAAAGCCCCGGGCUUAACCUGGGAACUGCAUUUGAAACUGGUCAACUAGAGUAUGGUAGAGGAAAGUGGAAUUUCUGGUGUAGCGGUGAAAUGCGUAGAUAUCAGAAGGAACAUCAAUGGCGAAAGGCAGCUUUCUGGACCAAUACUGACGCUGAGGUACGAAAGCGUGGGUAGCAAACAGGAUUAGAUACCCUGGUAGUCCACGCCGUAAACGAUGAUAACUAGCCGUUGGGGGGAUUUACCCUUUAGUGGCGAAGCUAACGCGUUAAGUUAUCCGCCUGGGGAGUACGGCCGCAAGGUUAAAACUCAAAGGAAUUGACGGGGACCCGCACAAGCGGUGGAGCAUGUGGUUUAAUUCGAUGCAACGCGAAGAACCUUACCUGGUCUUGACAUCCUGCGAACUUUCUAGAAAUAGAUUGGUGCCUUCGGGAACGCAGUGACAGGUGCUGCAUGGCUGUCGUCAGCUCGUGUCGUGAGAUGUUGGGUUAAGUCCCGUAACGAGCGCAACCCCUAUCCUUAUUUGCCAGCACAUCAUGGUGGGAACUAUAAGGAGACUGCCGGUGAUAAACCGGAGGAAGGCGGGGACGACGUCAAGUCAUCAUGGCCCUUACGACCAGGGCUACACACGUGCUACAAUGGGAAGGACAAAGAGCCGCGAAGCCGCGAGGUGUAGCUAAUCUCAUAAACCUUUUCGUAGUCCGGAUUGGAGUCUGCAACUCGACUCCAUGAAGUCGGAAUCGCUAGUAAUCGUAGAUCAGAAUGCUACGGUGAAUACGUUCCCGGGUCUUGUACUCAC
rnacentral:rRNA from 1 species